rfam:Schistosoma margrebowiei strain Zambia genome assembly, scaffold: SMRZ_contig0007638
GUUUUGCUGAAGAGUCCCACAAAAAGACGAAACGGCCGUCCAGUGC